UUGCCAGCCAAUCGCAGGGCGCACAUAGACCGACAACCAUUUACACUCACAAUCAUACCUAAUGACAAUUUCGAGUGAUCAAUUUACCUACCCUGCAUAUUUUUAGAAAGUGGUAGGGAACCUGGGGAAAAUCCCCCCAGGCGCGGGGCGAACAUGUAAACUCCACAGAGGAAGGCCAGAGCCGCAAUCGAACCCUGCACCUUUACACUGUGAGGCGGACGUGGUAACCAGUCAAACAUCGUGUCACCACUCAGUGAAAUCACUUGAACAUAUUUCAAGGGGAGGACAUGGCACCCAGGCUGCACAGAUAACAAUGGGUAUGGUGGAUUUAUGGACUUAAUCCGAGUUUUCUCGACAAUAUUAGAGACAUAGGUCGAGAUGUAGACCAUGUCGGCUGAUCCCGCUGUUCGGUUGGCUGAAGGAAAGCAUUGGCACAGAGUAGUGGGCGCUGUGAAGGCCAAUAGGUCCUGGCAAGCUUCUUGGGCAUGACAUCCAGGCUGUCCCCCUGAGCAGCUCCUGGAUCUUUCACCUAGCAUCGUGCAGAAUGGCCUUGGCAAGCGCCAUUUGUUUGACUUCUGGCUGUCUUCCUGAUCAGCUCUGUCAAGUCCACAGAAUGGCCCCCAAGCGCCACCGUUGUUCCUGCCCCCCUCAACCAAUCCUGUACUGGGGACCCAAAAAAGAUGUCAAAUUGAAGCUGGAGGUAACCUCUAAG